AUUGAACGCUGGCGGCAGGCUUAACACAUGCAAGUCGAGCGGAGAGAGGCAGCUUGCUACUGAUCUUAGCGGCGGACGGGUGAGUAAUGCUUAGGAAUCUGCCUAUUAGUGGGGGACAACAUUUCGAAAGGAAUGCUAAUACCGCAUACGUCCUACGGGAGAAAGCAGGGGAUCUUCGGACCUUGCGCUAAUAGAGGAGCCUAAGUCGGAUUAGCUAGUUGGUGGGGUAAAGGCCUACCAAGGCGACGAUCUGUAGCGGGUCUGAGAGGAUGAUCCGCCACACUGGGACUGAGACACGGCCCAGACUCCUACGGGAGGCAGCAGUGGGGAAUAUUGGACAAUGGGCGGAAGCCUGAUCCAGCCAUGCCGCGUGUGUGAAGAAGGCCUUAUGGUUGUAAAGCACUUUAAGCGAGGAGGAGGCUACUUUAGUUAAUACCUAGAGAUAGUGGACGUUACUCGCAGAAUAAGCACCGGCUAACUCUGUGCCAGCCGCCGCCGUAA
rnacentral:rRNA from 1 species